rnacentral:rRNA from 1 species
UACAGAGGUCCCGAGCGUUGUUCGGAUUCAUUGGGCGUAAAGGGCGCGUAGGUGGCGCUGUAAGUGGGGUGUGAAAUCCCGGGGCUUAACCCCGGGACUGCAUUCCAUACUGCGGUGCUUGAGGACUGGAGAGGAGACUGGAAUUUACGGUGUAGCAGUGAAAUGCGUAGAGAUCGUAAGGAAGACCAGUGGCGAAGGCGGGUCUCUGGACAGUUCCUGACACUGAGGCACGAAGGCCAGGGGAGCAAACGGG